rnacentral:rRNA from 1 species
GUGAGGAAUAUUGGACAAUGGGCGCAAGCCUGAUCCAGCAAUGCCGCGUGUGUGAAGAAGGCCUUCGGGUUGUAAAGCACUUUUGUCCGGAAAGAAAUCUCCUGGGUUAAUACCUCGGGGGGAUGACGGUACCGGAAGAAUAAGCACCGGCUAACUACGUGCCAGCAGCCGCGGUAAUACGUAGGGUGCGAGCGUUAAUUGGAAUUACUGGGCGUAAAGCGUGCGCAGGCGGCUAUGCAAGACAGAUGUGAAAUCCCCGGGCUCAACCUGGGAACUGCAUUUGUUACUGCAUGGCUAGAGUGCGUCAGAGGGAGGUGGAAUUCCGCGUGUAGCAGUGAAAUGCGUAGAGAUGCGGAGGAACACCGAUGGCGAAGGCAGCCUCCUGGGAUGACACUGACGCUCAUGCACGAAAGCGUGGGGAGCAAACAGGAUUAGAAACCCCAGUAGUCC